AAAUUUAUAGUAAGAGGAAAAUCCGUCGAAGUCCCUCUUCCCCA
rnacentral:tRNA from 1 species